rnacentral:lncRNA from 10 species
CUUUAGGUCUCCAGUGUCUCCCAAACAAGAAUCAGGCUGCAAAGCUAUGUGGUGCUUCAACACCCAAAUGGCCUCCCUGGCCCAAGGGAAUGAUGGAAAAGGAAGACCCUCUCACAGGACAGAGAAUAGACACUUCUGACAGUCACAUGAUGAUCAACUCUGUGGUUGGAAGUCAGGAAUCUUCAAAGGAGUGGGAUGAUUCUGCAAGAACUCCCACAUUCUUAGUGAUUGCACAGUACAGUCUGAUCAACCCUCCUGAAGAGGACAGCUGCUUCAUCUCGAUAAACCCAUCGUCAUAAAUCACACGAUGGAAUAUUACACAGCAAUGACAAGGAAUGAACAACGGGCCAUAAAACCACAUGAGUAAAGUUCAAAAACAUUCUGUGGAGUUGAAAAGUACAUGGUGUAGGAGUCAAUUUAUGAAAUUCAAGAACAUGUAGAGCAUGGUAUGACAGAAGUCAGCAUAAUGAAUACUUCUGCUGUGAAGAUUGACUGGGGAAAAGGAUGGAAAGACUUUCUGAGUGACAGAAACAGUUUGUAUCUUUAUCUCAUUGAAAGUCAGACAGCUAAAAAUUGACCUGGAUGCACACUUCAGAUUUCCACAUUGCACUGUAUUUACAUAACACUUCAAUUUUUAAAGGCAAAGGAAAGAAGAUGGUGACCCCUGUGGUAGUAGUGGAUGUCUCUCAGUGGUCUGAAUUCUAGAGAUUUUCCUGGCAUUAGGAAAAAAAUGCAGGAUUUUUAACACAUACGGCCAAGAGAAGUUGAAAAACAUAGCUAAAAUGCGCUUAAAAACAAAACAAAACUAAACAUUAGCAUAGGUUUUGUACAUCCUAGUUCCUCUCCCUCUCCUUCUCUUUCUCUCUUUUGUUCAAAUGCUGGAAGUGAACAACAAUUGUUUUGAUAAUAAAAUAACUACACAGUGUCAACAAUGUUUCCUUCAUUGAGUUUUGAGGCUACAGCAAUGACAAGAAAAAAUGGACUUUCAUGUUAAGAAUCUCACCAUCUAAAAGGG